rnacentral:rRNA from 1 species
UACAGAGGGGGCAAGCGUUGUUCGGAAUUACUGGGCGUAAAGGGCGCGUAGGCGGCUUCUUAAGUCGGUGGUGAAAUCCUGGAGCUCAACUCCAGAACUGCCUUCGAUACUGAGAGUCUCGAGUCCGGGAGAGGUGAGUGGAACUGCGAGUGUAGAGGUGAAAUUCGUAGAUAUUCGCAAGAACACCAGUGGCGAAGGCGGCUCACUGGCCCGGUACUGACGCUGAGGUGCGAAAGCGUGGGGAGCAACAGG